GGAUGUGAGGGCCAUAUGGCUGCAUUAUCUGUCACUCUGUUGAUUGUCAAGGUUAAUUGGGCAGAUCUGGCUGGCUAGGUGGGUGUCCCCUUUCUUUCUCAAGCUCAAUGUGUGUCCCUCCCAAAGCUGUGUGCUCAGUCAAAGAGGAUGACUUCCCCGAAUAGAGACAGAUCAGUCUUCAGUGGAGGGUAUACAAGUAGCUGCAUUUCCCUGCUAGAACCUCCAAACUCUGAUGAGGCAGAGAGAACAUGGUGUUUUUAUAUAAAAUUGUAUUGCUGGUUUACAGUGGGAUUUUGAUG
rnacentral:snRNA from 1 species